GAAUGGGUUUGGUUUUAUGGCAGGUCCGUUCCCCUUGGGUCUCUCAUAGUGCCCUAUGCCAGAGCAAACUGUGGCCUUGAACCGUUGCCUGGCCUUUACCUGUAGGCUGCAGGCACUGAAGUGAGUUACACAGUG